rnacentral:rRNA from 1 species
AUACGGAGGAUCCGAGCGUUAUCCGGAUUUAUUGGGUUUAAAGGGAGCGUAGGUGGAUUGUUAAGUCAGUUGUGAAAGUUUGCGGCUCAACCGUAAAAUUGCAGUUGAAACUGGCAGUCUUGAGUACAGUAGAGGUGGACGGAAUUCGUGGUGUAGCGGUGAAAUGCUUAGAUAUCACGAAGAACUCCGAUUGCGAAGGCAGCUCACUAGACUGUUACUGACACUGAUGCUCGAAAGUGUGGGUAUCAAACAGGAUUAGAUACCCUGGUAGUCCACACAGUAAACGAUGAAUACUCGCUGUUUGCGAUAUACAGUAAGCGGCCAAGCGAAAGCAUUAAGUAUUCCACCUGGGGAGUACGCCGGCAACGGUGAAACUCAAAUGAAUUGACGGGG